AUCAAAUUCUAGACAAAUUUUAAACCCUAAAUCAAAUCCUAGACAAAUCCUAGACAAACCCUAAAUUCUAAACCAAACUUUAGACAAAUCUUAAAUCCAAAAUCAAAUUGUCGAAAAAUUAUAAAUCCUAAACCAAAUCCUAUACAAAUCCUAAAUCCUAAAUAGAAUCCUAAACCAAAUCCUAAUUCUAAACCAAACCUUAAUCAAACCUUAAUCAAUUCAAUGUAAUCCUAGUACUAUUUAGAACCUCAAUAUC
rnacentral:lncRNA from 1 species